GGGGGUGCUUUUACCGGAGGGGCCACACCCGUUCCCAUUCCGAAUACGGCCGUUAAGCCCUCCAGGGCCGAUGGUACUGUUCUCGCAAGGGAAUGGGAGAGUAGGUCAGUGCCCCCU
rnacentral:rRNA from 1 species